rnacentral:rRNA from 1 species
GGUUAAGUAACUAAGGGCAUGCGGUGAAUGCCUAGGCGCCGGGAGCCGAAGAAGGACGCGGUAAGCUGCGAAAAGCUACGUUGAGUCGCAAGCAGACCUUGACACGUAGAUAUCCGAAUAGGACAACCCUGCCGGAGUUAUGUCCGGCAACCUUAAAGCCAAUCCAUAACUUUAAGGAGGCAACCCGGGGAACUGAAACAUCUAAGUACCCGGAGGAAGAGAAAGAAAACUCGAUUCCCCUAGUAGCGGCGAGCGAAGCGGGAAGAGCCCAAACCGAGCAAUCGGGGUAAGGACACUCAAAAAGAUAUAGCGUUUUAGCAGAAUGACCUGGGAAAGUCAGCCAUAGAAGGUUAAAGCCCUGUACGCGAAAAGACAAAAUAUCCGGAGUGCAUCCGGAGUACCACGAGGCACGAGGAAUCUCGUGGGAAGGCGGGGGGACCACCCCCCAAGGCUAAAUACUCCCCGGCGACCGAUAGUGAACCAGUACCGUGAGGGAAAGGUGAAAAGCACCUCGGAAGAGGAGUGAAAUAGAACCUGAAACCGCAUGCUUACAAUCAGUCACAGCUCCACAUGCGAGUAGUGGCGUACUUUUUGUAGAACGGACCGGCGAGUUGCGUUAAGAAGCCAGGUUAAGGAAACGGAGCCAUAGCGAAAGCAAGUCUUAAUAGGGCGCAAGUUUCUUGGCGCAGACCCGAAACCGGGUGAUCUACCCAUGAGCAGGUUGAAGCGUUGGUAAAACAACGUGGAGGACCGAACCAGGUGUCGUUGAAAAGACAUUGGAUGACUUGUGGGUAGGGGUGAAAUUCCAAUCGAACCCGGAGAUAGCUGGUUCUCCUCGAAAUAGCUUUAGGGCUAGCCUCAAGCAAAGACCUACGGAGGUAAAGCACUGACUGGAUGCGGGGGCUUCACCGCCUACCAAAUCUUAUCAAACUCAGAAUGCCGUAGGGGAGUUACUUGGGAGUCAGACUAUGGGGGAUAAGCUUCAUAGUCAAAAGGGAAAGAACCCAGACCGUCGUCUAAGGUCCCCAAGUUGGUGUUAAGUGGAAAAGGAUGUAGAAUCGCUCAGACAACCAGGAUGUUGGCUUAGAAGCAGCCAUCAUUAAGAGAGUGCGUAAUAGCUCACUGGUCCAGGGGUUCCGCGCCGAAAAUGUAACGGGGCUCAAACACCACACCGAAGACACGGAAUGCAUAGCAUUGGUAGAGGAGCGAUCCAUUGAGAACGAAGCGAGAGCGCAAGCGCUCGUGGACCCAAUGGAAGAGAGAAUGCCGGUAUAAGUACACGAUAAAAGAGGUGAGAAUCCUCUUCGCCGAAAGUCUAAGGAUUCCUGGGGAAGGCUCGUCCGCCCAGGGUAAGUCGGGACCUAAGGCAAGGCCGAAAGGCGUAGUCGAUGGGAAACAGGUAGAAAUUCCUGUACCUAUCUUAUUUA